GAUGAACGCUAGCUACAGGCUUAACACAUGCAAGUCGAGGGGCAGCAUGGUCUUAGCUUGCUAAGGCCGAUGGCGACCGGCGCACGGGUGAGUAACACGUAUCCAACCUGCCGUCUACUCUUGGACAGCCUUCUGAAAGGAAGAUUAAUACAAGAUGGCAUCAUGAGUCCGCAUGUUCACAUGAUUAAAGGUAUUCCGGUAGACGAUGGGGAUGCGUUCCAUUAGAUAGUAGGCGGGGUAACGGCCCACCUAGUCUUCGAUGGAUAGGGGUUCUGAGAGGAAGGUCCCCCACAUUGGAACUGAGACACGGUCCAAACUCCUACGGGAGGCAGCAGUGAGGAAUAUUGGUCAAUGGGCGAGAGCCUGGACCAGCCAAGUAGCGUGAAGGAUGACUGCCCUAUGGGUUGUAAACUUCUUUUAUAAAGGAAUAAAGUCGGGUAUGGAUACCCGUUUGCAUGUACUUUAUGAAUAAGGAUCGGCUAACUCCGUGCCAGCAGCCGCGGUAAUACGGAGGAUCCGAGCGUUAUCCGGAUUUAUUGGGUUUAAAGGGAGCGUAGAUGGAUGUUUAAGUCAGUUGUGAAAGUUUGCGGCUCAACCGUAAAAUUGCAGUUGAUACUGGAUAUCUUGAGUGCAGUUGAGGCAGGCGGAAUUUCGUGGUGUAGCGGUGAAAUGCUUAGAUAUCACGAAGAACUCCGAUUGCGAAGGCAGCCUGCUAAGCUGCAACUGACAUUGAGGCUCGAAAGUGUGGGUAUCAAACAGGAUUAGAUACCCUGGUAGUCCACACGGUAAACGAUGAAUACUCGCUGUUUGCGAUAUACUGCAAGCGGCCAAGCGAAAGCGUUAAGUAUUCCACCUGGGGAGUACGCCGGCAACGGUGAAACUCAAAGGAAUUGACGGGGGCCCGCACAAGCGGAGGAACAUGUGGUUUAAUUCGAUGAUACGCGAGGAACCUUACCCGGGCUUAAAUUGCAGAUGAAUUACGGUGAAAGCCGUAAGCCGCAAGGCAUCUGUGAAGGUGCUGCAUGGUUGUCGUCAGCUCGUGCCGUGAGGUGUCGGCUUAAGUGCCAUAACGAGCGCAACCCUUGUUGUCAGUUACUAACAGGUUCCGCUGAGGACUCUGACAAGACUGCCAUCGUAAGAUGUGAGGAAGGUGGGGAUGACGUCAAAUCAGCACGGCCCUUACGUCCGGGGCUACACACGUGUUACAAUGGGGGGUACAGAGGGCCGCUACCACGCGAGUGGAUGCCAAUCCCCAAAACCUCUCUCAGUUCGGACUGGAGUCUGCAACCCGACUCCACGAAGCUGGAUUCGCUAGUAAUCGCGCAUCAGCCACGGCGCGGUGAAUACGUUCCCGGGCCUUGUACACACCGCCCGUCAAGCCAUGGGAGCCGGGGGUACCUGAAGUGCGUAACCGCGAGGAGCGCCCUAGGGUAAAACUGG
rnacentral:rRNA from 1 species